GUUAAAAAAUAAUAUAAAAUUUAAGGGUGGGAUGGUGGGGUAAAGGUGAAGGCUAAGUGUGAGAUUUGGUGGGAAGAGUGAUUUUGAGAGUAACAUAAAAUCUUUUAAUUGAAUUAAUAUAGCUGAUAUAAUUUUUUUUCCAAAUCAAACCAGCCUGAAUGCCCAUUUUAUUAAACAAAAACAUCAAAAUUGAUACAAAUAACCAAAUCAGGCCCAAAUAUUAGGUCAACCCGAGUCUAGUUCCAUCAAAAAAUCAGGAAAAAAAUAAAUCUCUAGGUUAAAUUAGGAAACAUUUUCUCAGCUCCGCCUCUUGCUCUUCCUCUGCCUUCAUCGGAUUUUCAUCAACCAUUCGUCGGCCCUCCAUUGAGCUACCAUGCAGCUGUCGUUGACCACCUACUUUCCAUCAUUAUCUUCAUGGCUAAAAAAAGCUAAGUUGUUGGACUUCCGUUUCGUUAAUCAUUAGUUAAUGGGUUGAGUUUAAUAGAAAUUAAUACCACCAUCUUACUAUCGAUUAGUGAAAAGAAAAUCUAGAUCUAUUUCUCUGUGAUGAGUAUUACUAAAUACAUCUAAGAAAUAACACUUUAGAUGUGAUAUUCCAACUGUUUGAACACCAUAAUCCUCAACAUCCUUGAAUCUCAUUGGAUGUGGGUUAGAUUUUUAAUAGAAUUCCUUUCUAACAGUCGGUUUAUCAUCUCCAUAGUAAAUCGUUGCUAUAUAAUUCAUAAUCUAAUUAUCUCCCAUCAAUUAUUAUAUGUCUAGGUUUAAUAUUAAGCUGCAUGUUAACAUCUUCCCAGCAGUAUACUAGAGUUUGAUAAUAUCAGGAUACUUGGUGAAGGGAUUAUGAUGAUAUAUGAAGAAUAUACAAGCUUCAAAUUAAGCGAAAACAACUUAAAAAGGCUUGGAAUGGAUCACGGAAGCACAAUAUGCUACUUGAUGCCAAUUUGGAUACCUAGAAUGUCCAGGGAUAGUGAGGGUGCGUGUCAUGGUAUUUUGGCACGUUCGACACUCCAAAAUUUUCAGAAGGUAUCAAAAUAGUGAACUAAGGUGAUACAGAGGUGACGCCUUGCCUAGAGACGUGAUAAAACUAGUACGCAGCCUUGCCUGGAGCGGGGCUAUAGCAGGCGGCGCCCUCUCCGGUCGCGGGCUCAAUAACUGACAGUUUCCUUUUCCAACAUGGAAUUGGCUUUCUCCUAUACUAUAAAUACAUCAUGGUAACAUUUUUUUUACAUACCUUUGGACGUCUUGGAGAAUUAAGGAGGCUACCACAACUUAUUUUUAGGGUUUUAUUAUCUUAAGUUUAGUUUGUUUCGUGGUUUGUAUCAUCAAUCCAAGGGAUUGGAUGAUGAAUAUUUCCAUUAAAGGCUAAAACUCCCUUUUCGGGGUUAAGGCCAAGAUCAUGACUACUUUUGUUUUGAAUUAAGUUUGUUAAUUUUCUUAUCAUCAUUGGUUGCU